rnacentral:rRNA from 1 species
GAUAAACGCCAGCGGCAGGCUUAACACAUGCAAGUCGAGGGGCAGCAUAGAUUGUAGCAAUACGAUUGGUGGCGACCGGCGCACGGGUGCGUAACGCGUAUGCAACCUACCCGUCACAGGGGGAUAAUCCGGAGAAAUCUGGUCUAAUACCCCAUAACAUAUGGAUCGGCAUCGGUUCAUGUUGAAAUUUUCGGAGGUGACGGAUGGGCAUGCGUAGCAUUAGCGUGUUGGUGAGGUAACGGCUCACCAAGGCGACGAUGCUUAGGGGGACGGAGAGUUUUUCCCCCCACAAUGGAACGGCGACCCGGACCAGACUCCUACGGUAGGCAGCAGUGAGGAAUAUUGGUCAAUGGGCGCAAGCCUGAACCAGCCAUGCCGCGUGCAGGAUGACGGCUCUAUGAGUUGUAAACUGCUUUUGUACGAGGGUAAAGUGGGUUACGUGUAACCUUAUGAAAGUAUCGUACGAAUAAGGAUCGGCUAACUCCGUGCCAGCCGCCGCAGUAA